CCGCUCCAAGUCCCAAACCCCUUCCGGCGGCGAAGCAACACACCCUCCCUUCUCCCCCUCCCGAAGCAGCGAUGGCCCCCAAGGCGGAGAAGAAGCCGGCGGCGAAGAAGCCUGCGGAGGAGGAGCCCGCGGCGGAGAAGGCCGAGAAGGCCCCUGCUGGGAAGAAGCCGAGGGCCGAGAAGCGGGUUCCGGCGGGCAAGACCGCCUCCAAGGAGGGCGGCGAGAAGAGGGGCAGGAAGAAGGGCAAGAAGAGCGUCGAGACCUACAAGAUCUACAUCUUCAAGGUGCUGAAGCAGGUGCACCCUGACAUCGGCAUCUCCUCCAAGGCCAUGUCCAUCAUGAACUCCUUCAUCAACGACAUCUUCGAGAAGCUCGCCGGGGAGGCUGCCAAGCUCGCCCGCUACAACAAGAAGCCCACCAUCACCUCCAGGGAGAUCCAGACCUCCGUACGCCUCGUCCUCCCUGGGGAGCUCGCCAAGCACGCCGUCUCCGAGGGCACCAAGGCCGUCACCAAGUUUACCUCCUCUUAGAUCGCGUCGCCUGUAUCUAGUAGCAAAUGUAGUUCCUUGCUGUUGGCUUAGUGCUUGUCUGUGGAC
rnacentral:rRNA from 1 species